CAGGUUAAUACGGCCCCCUGUCCGGUUGACCUAUUACGUCAUAUAAUGAAGAACUGGAGUCAUUCAUGUGAUACACCGGAAUUUCAAACAUCAACAAGAUGGAUAAUAGUACAGUUUUUUUUUUAUUCUUGCACAUAAUGUGCGUGUUACUCACGGUGCAGAUAAAAUGGCGCCGUCCCUCAGGUGGUUCUUCUACCAGCAUCUUUUUUUGACCUUCUUCUUCUGCUACAGGCUUUCUUGGAUGUUGUGUUCACACGUGUCGUCCAGCUAAAGUCUGAUUAAGGCGUAUACAUGGCGGAGAAAAAUCCAAUUGGAUUCCAAAGGAGAAAUCCUGAUUAUAGUCGGAGUAACGUGUUUAAAUGCACUUAAGUUGUCCAGUUAAAGUCUGAUUAAAUUUUUUUUAUUUUUUUAUUUUUUGCAUGUGCAUGUUAACAUACUGAAUGACUUGAAUUAAUGGUUUCUGGUUAUUUUUGAGGCAAGAUGAGAAGCUUAAUUACCUCAUGUGAUGUCACAUUGUCCUUUUGCACUAAUUCUGAAACUAAAAGAAACAGCCAGUUUGCUGGAGGACUGACUGGAGGAUCCUUUAAAAGCAAACUGGUUUUGAAACUGGAUAUGGUCCCAUAUUUACAGGAAAAACAUGUUAGCGUCCUCAUACGACAUUCAGCUUAAAAAAAGGAGAAAAAAAGAAAAAAAGACAACUCCAAACCACUCCUCACACAGAGUUUGAAACAAAGCCAGAGACCACUGCAAGACUAUAGCCCAUCUGUCAAAUAUCAGCAUGGAGCCAAGGAGGUCAUCUGGCCCUGGAGAUAAAGGUGGGCGUGAGAUGUAUAUGUGUGUGUUCGCCGCUUAUAACAGACGCUGUCCAUCUCCCUCAACCAACUUGGGCAGACCAGGCAUCUCUCGUCCACAUUCCUCAGAUUAUGCAGGGCCAUCCCAGACGAGCGUAGGCAAGCCUGGACCCACCUGGGCAGACCCUGGUAAAUUCCACUCAUGCUCGGAGACCCACCGGGAUAAGAAAAGCCGGGAAGAAGUGGGGGCAUAUUUAGGAAUCUCUGAAAGCGCGUUUAAUUCUACUGAGCUCUGCGAGUGUUUACGAGGAGUCAUGAGACUUCACUCUGCGUGAAGUGAAUGGCCGCUAGCUGGCAGACACCCCCUCUGGGUCUUUGCUGUGGGUAACGUCCACGCCGUACCCACCCACCCGCCCACCAACCCAGCCCCCACCUCUGCUCUCGCUAUUGUGUUUGCUUGGCGCUGAUGUUAGCGGAGAGAGGGGCUCGGGUGGGGGGAGGGAAGGGUAGGGCUAUCGACACCAGGGCCAUUGUUUCUCAGCGACCCCCAUUCAGGGUCAUUUAGCAUGUGACACCUCGAGGGGCACAGCGCAUUACUAAUGCCACAGACGAGAAACAAAUGUGCCAACUCCCCAACACCCUGACCUGAGCCGGCAUGAUGGCCGAUAUGAAACACUGUAGCAAGUUGGAGAGGAAAUGAGUGAGAGGCGGAGAUAUUAGGAACAAGAGAGCAGCAGCAGCAGCAGAAGAAGAAACACACAUGUAGAGAGCAGGCUGAGGAAAAACACCAUCGUGAGGCAGACAAGAUGGUUGGAGGAGCUUAUCUACAUACCCGAGGAGGGUGUGUCAACGAACGAAUACGUAAUGCUGUACUGGAACUUUCUGUAACAGAUCAUUUCUUCCACUCCCUGUUCCUGAAGCCGUUGGUGCCUAUGCGUGCCUUAGAUCUGCCAUCCUAUAUAUGAAGACUGUAAACCGUUUGUAUUCAAACGGGAACAAAUGACACGGUGUGUCACUUUGGCAUGUCCAUAAUGCGUUCACGUCAACCCCGAGGCAAACCGCACAAGGUGGCAGUACUUGAAAUGAGACAAGAAAGUAUGACCUCCCCAGUUGGGAAACAUCACCCAGCAGAUCCUAUCUAUGAACAGGUUCACUUACAGCAGCAACAACAACAGAAUGAGGGAGAGAGAGCUAAGAAGAGUCAAACACAGUCGUGGUUUUCAAUCAAGCUUUUAAUGAAAAGAUCAUAAAAUAACAGUUUAUUUUUUUUCCUCACUGCUGUACAUUAAGACUGCAAGGUUGUGAGUGCUGAGGUCAGCUGUAUUACACUUUUAUGACACUUUGAGUUUGCGAGCCCCGCCGCUAUGCGCGGUGGCGGCUCUGACCUGAAUACGAGCUCUCUGAGGAGUGGAGAUAAAGAGAGCCCAGCCUGGGUGCUGCCAAAAGCCACAAAAAGGGGGUCAGAGGAUCUCACCUUAAAUACUGGUGUGCGCAUGUUAGGUGGUGUUUGAAGUCUAGACGCUGGCAUGUGCGUUAGUGGAGGUCGACGCGCAUGCAUGUCGGCCAAAAGUGCACCUGGGUGUGUGUGUGUGCACCUUUGCAUGUGAAGUGUGUUUGCCAAGGGGAAGGGCUCCUUGUCCUUUAAUUAUUCAUCAGCAAAGACCCUACAUAUCCAUUCCAGAGCCUCUCAGUCCAUGGAUCCUGAUACAUUAUUGAGAGGUUGUUCCUGAAGAAAACCAGAGAGGAAGCUUGAUACACCCACUUCAUGGGCAGCUCCACUAAUCAACUCUUCAAGUACCAUUGUUUUUUUGUUUUUUAUUAUUUUUUUUUAGCAGCUAAUCAUGUCUUUCAAUGAAUGUAGUGCACAUCAAGGUGACACCGUGCCUUUAUAAAUUCAUAAACAUAUGUAAAUUAAAAGUUAUUAAAACAUGCUGCUAUAAACUCUAUUUAAAAAAAAAAGUAAGGAUAAUUUGGUUACAGAUGGACGGCAAAAAAAAAAAAAACGUAUAAAUGUAAUGGCAUGAUAGCACAUGUCUGUAAACACUGAAAGAUUUGAGGUAAUUUGGUGUUUUCUGUUUUUGUAAGUCACUACUGCACAAUGUCACAGUAAAUACAGAAAAAAAAAAGAAAAAUGCAGCAGAGAGGAGGAUACAGUCCCCCCAUGCGCAGUAACGGAGAUUACAGAGGGUCAAAGGGCUAAAGCAGGGGUCGGGUGUAUCUGAGAUAAAGCGAGGGACAAUAAAGCUUAGACAGGGUUUAAUGGCACUGGAGGCCAUUUUAAAACUGGCUUUGGUUUAGUCUGCCGGGGUAAGAAGGACCAUCUCGGUCAUAACUGGACAGACCAGCCCCCUCUACUACACGUGAACGCCUGCCGAGCGCGGUGGAAUUAACAACCGCACAAAAUGUAACAAUAACACCGAGAAAUGUGGAAACUCGAGGACAGUUUCUCGACUGAGCUUCCCGCUUUGUAUAUGUAAUGUAUUAAAGCUUCGUUAACACUGCAUAAUGAUAUGAUAUUUUAACAACAACAAUGAUGAGGUAAGAAGAGAAAGAGUAAAACCGUUGGUUAAAAGCGGAACUGAUAUGAGAGCGUCCGGGUCGUCCCGGAGCUUUUGAAAAAACAUACAAAGUGCACUUAGUAAAGCUAUCUCAUCCGACGUUUCUAAAAAAAAAAAAAAAAAAAAAAAUUAAAAAAAUCCUCCAACGUGGAACUAACGGACACUUAUAAUGCAACUGUGUAAAACAGAACGGCAGAAGGCAAGAAAAUGUACUAAUGGUGGAGAGGUGAGCACUACUACUGUGGAUUAUGUGCGUGUUUCUGCUGUGUGAAUGUUUUUUUUCUUUCUUUUUUUCUUUCAUGUCAGCAGCGUGGCAACACCCAGGGAGAGCAAGCUGGAAACGAUACAGUAGCCUCCGCUCUGCACAGGCAGCGACCGCGUCCUGCCUGUGUCCACAGACACACAAACACACACACACGGAGGGGUUAAAGUUCACCUCCCCCCGGUGUGCAGUCAUUCAGUGAGAACUCAAGUACAUAUGGGCUAAAAAUAAAAAUAAAAAAUAAAAAUACACCCAUUGUGAAUGACAUGAAAUUAAAAACCAUACAGACUGCCAGGUGUAACUGAGAAGAUAAUAAAUGCCAUAGACCAUUUUCAUUGAGGUGGAAAAAAUAAAAAAUCAGUUUUCCCACGGAAAAAAACUUCACAGAUUGUGGUUAAUGGCUAUGUUUUGUGUCUCAUUUUUGAUUCUCAGCUUGAAAUCCUCAAAACAAAAAUAAAACUAAAAUAAAAAAGGGGUUCCUGCCGCCACCUCGGUCUCACACACUGAGAAAAUUCUUUGAAGAGGUGAGGGCAGGCCCGGAAAUAAAUACAUUCAUCACUGACAAUAGACAUUUAAUAAAAAAAAAAAAGAAAAAAAAAAAUAAGAGAAAAGAACACUGUCAAUAAGUGUUUGCACCAACUUUGUUUGAGGCUCGGCCAACCAGAGGUUUGUUCCGCUUUUACCCACAGAACACAAGCAGCUAAAAAAAAAAAAAAAAAAAAAAAAAAAAAAAAAUCGUAAAAGCAGAAAAACGACAAUAACAUUCACAGUUAAGACUACCAGAUCAGCCUGUUUACAUGCAGUGAACAAAUUAAAGCUACAUUCUCCAGAUAGGUUUCAAGGACCGCCAGCAUAAGAGAUGCACCACGUUUGACAACUUAAAAAAAAAAAACAACCCAAACCAUUCAAGCAUCACCCACCCACUCCUACAUAUGAAGAGACCCAAGCAGCAGAGGUAGUCCUCAAGUGCGUUUGGGUAAACACAGAGACACAACAUUGAGCUAAAGACCCUGACUAACAAUGCCUUUUGAUUAAUAUGUCAAGGACGCACCACCCGUCCCCCUCCCCUCUUGCUGUCGUCCCGUCAGAAGACAGGCCAGAGGGCAGGGGGGAAUGGGGCGCAGGGUCACCCCCAAAGCCAGCUGGCAGGGAAAGGGAAAGAGGUUUUUUGGGGGGUAGGGGGGUGGGGGGGUGGGGGGUGCCCCUGAGCCACACACCCUCCCUUAAAUGAAUGCAGUAGUUCACCCCAUGUUUAAUGCUAUGCUUUCGUUUUGGCAGCAACCUCUGUGGAAAAGCAUCUUUAACAAAAAACAAAAAAACAACAACAAACACACACAAAACCACCUCUCUGACUGACCGAGCCCCGACUGAGGUCUGUAAAACUGUAAAAGUUCAUGUAAACAAUGUGAUAAAUACAUAUGUUUCUUUUUAGAGCCACACAUGGUUCCAUAAUCAUUCAAAUGUGCUUUGGUUUAAAAAAUAGUUUGUGGAUUUGGGUAUGAGCUUCUUCUUUUUAUUUUUUUUUUUUAAUUUUAUUUUUUUAUUAUUCUUUUCUUCUUAGUUCUUUGUACAACUUUGCAACUAUUUCUGAACAUA